rnacentral:rRNA from 1 species
UACGGAGGAUCCGAGCGUUAUCCGGAUUUAUUGGGUUUAAAGGGUGCGUAGGCGGUUUGAUAAGUUAGAGGUGAAAUGUCGGGGCUCAACCCCGAAACUGCCUCUAAUACUGUUGGACUAGAGAAUAGUUGCGGUAGGCGGAAUGUAUGGUGUAGCGGUGAAAUGCUUAGAGAUCAUACAGAACACCGAUUGCGAAGGCAGCUUACCAAACUAUAUCUGACGUUGAGGCACGAAAGCGUGGAUAGCAAACAGG